rnacentral:lncRNA from 1 species
AUGUAUAACAUUAUGGCAUGCAUUCUUGAAAAUGAAAUUUCAUUUCAUUUCUUGUUGCUAUUUUUGAAAGACUGAGUUGAAGUAUUUUAUUAUCUUUACCUUUUAACUACAUAAAAUAUCCAAUAAAUAAAUAUGAUAGAAACUAAAUAAAAAUAAAGGAAAUUGGGUUUGAUUUUUUACAAAAUGAAGCCAGGUUAUGCAAUGUAUUCCUGUAUACAUUUAUAAAUUUGAUAUGAAAAUACAUAUAUAUAGCAAAGGGCCCUCUAUAAUUCCAACUCUAUGUCCUUGUAGAGGACAAGUUGUGACCUCAUGUUUGGGCAUCUUCCCCUGGGUUCAGCUCUAGUUCUACCCAACCAAAGUAUAAGAUAUUGUGCUGAUUAAAUGUAUUGGAAUAGAGAAAGACGCAGUAUUAUACAUGAUCCCUUUAAAGCAUGAAGUGGUAAUCAUUUUUCUUUCUGUAGUUUUAGAACUGUAUAGGUCUUAAAAACUAAUCUUUGAAUGACAACUCUUCAAAUGAUCUAUCUUAGGACUAAAAAGGAAAGUAGUGUUACUAGUAGCUUUUAGCAACUAGGACACAUUUCUGAAUUACCUUUGUCUGGGCCCUCUGUUGAUAUUUCUAUGCCAUUAAGAGGACUAAAUUUCUAUGUUCUGUUCUUCCUUAUGGGAUAGUUGACAUCCAAAUAAAACUCUGUGCUUUCAGCCAAAACUAUUAUAUACUCUAUUGAGGUGAAUCUAAAGUCCUUUAAAGUUUUUUUGAAUUCUAACACUAAGCCUGCACAACCAUCAUCUUCAAUAAUUGUUCCUGUAAAAGAUAGAAUCUGAUCAGGUUUGUUAGCAACAGUAAACAUUGAGAUUGCUGCAGGCCUUCAGAUACACCAUUUAUGGAAGAUGUAUAGAUGUGUGAUCUCUUUGGGAACCUAUAGUGUGAUAAGUGAAUUUAGUUUAAAUCACUAUCUAGCACUCUAAAAUUGACAUAUAAUUACUGAGGGGCAGUUAUGACCUAGCUCUUAUUAAGGAGCCCUUGGGACUAUAAGAUCCAAAUACAAGGAUUUAUUAUCCAUAAAAGGAGCAAUUUAUUUACUUUUAUCUCUGAAAAUAACUCCCAUACUGAAUCUUUUUCAAAGAUAACAUAAAUGUUUAAUCUAUGUGGUAUAUCUAUACCAGAGAUCUAACAACCUUAUGGAUGAAAUUUGUCUUCUCUGCAUAUUUUCCUUAUGAUAAGUAUGAACUUCUGUCAACAAGUUUUGUGCAUUUGGUAGAGUUCUGUCAACAAAAUCAGUUUGAUUUAUUGGUUAUUGUUGUUGCUAAAUCUUUUCAUAUAGUUUGGAGAAGAAGAAUAUCAGUCAAACAGAUGAGCACUUAUUGGGGUUUUUAGUAAGUAUGUAACUUUUUUGUUUUAAAUAAGAGCAAUGAACUUAUCUUUGUUGUUAAAAACAGAAGAGAUGUCAUUUAUAUAACAUACAGGGAUUAAAAAUGACUAACUUGAUCUAAUUAGCAUGUAUCUAAUGAGCUGUCUGCUUUGGAUCGUAGAUAUAUUUUCUUUGAUUUAACAGAUAUGGUACUCACCAGACAUAUAAUGACUCAAGGAAAACUAAUUGAGCUUCUUAUAAAGAGGACCUUAAGUUUAACCUAGAGGUAUUCAGAGGAAAUUUUGCUUAGUGAUGGAUUUAAAAAUGACUGUUGACGAGAUUCAAUAAGCAAUUCUCUUGUCUUAUCAUUAAAAUUAUCUGGUUAAGACUGGUGACUCAUCAAGAUAGAUUUCUUGGUGGAAUAAACAUCUUACAAGGAGAGGGCGCGAGGACUGGAAAAAGGAUUGGAAAGAAACUUGUUUCUGUAAUGGCUCUUGAUUGGUGGUGAAACACAGUGA